AAUAGAAAUGGUGGCCUAAUAUUAACCUAGAUCUACCAUCGCUCCAUCAGAUAUGUUCAUCCUCUCAUACCCAAUACCGUGUACGCUCAUCCUCUCAUACCCAACACCGUCUGCUCCGACCUGCCGAUCUGCUCCGAUCUUCAACACCGUCUGCCGAUAUUCUGACGCCGCCGGCCACCCACCACCGUCUGCUUCGUUCACCGCGACGCACCACCACACGCUACAGCCAUCAAAAUCGCAUCUCAGAUCUAAAAUCUUCAUCCGUCGUCUGCUUCGAUCGUCUCACCGCCACAACACCCACCACCACCACGCCGUUGGCCUCACGACCUCCACCGUGACGACGAUCUGCCGAUGUGCACCACACCGUGACAACCUCGACGCAGCCAUCGCCACCAUCGCUGAUCUGCCGACGCACCGCCACACGCCACACGCCACAGCCACGGCCAUCAAAAUCGCAUCUCAGAGCUAAAAUCUUCAUGUUGCUUUUUUAUAGCAUUUCCAUAUUUGUAUAAUUAUGUUCUAAAUUGUUUUAUAUUCAAUCUUAACAGAAAAAAACUAUAUGAUGGACGCAUUGAUACAUUGUAGAGCACCAAUUGGACAACAAGAUGCUGAAGGAAAACCAAAAUAUGUCAUCCGCCCAUAAGUAUUGGUUUAUCCUCUCUCUCCCCACUUCAAUUACCUGAGAAGGAAUAUGGUGGGUUUUAUAUUUUCUAAAAUUAUGGUAAAGAAAGGAAGGAUAUAUGCCAGAAGAAGAUUUGAUCAAGAACCAUUGGUCCAUUGCAAAGUGCUUCUGUGCAAUAUAUGCCUCCAAUCUUGAUUUCUUCAAGGUCGUUAGGGAACACUAUCUCCGUGAUGAUAUCUACUGCGGAGCCACAUUUUGUAAAAGUUGCGUUGUUUCUUCCGCUCGCUUGAGCUCCUCCCGUAUCCUCGUUGUCGACACUAAUGUUGUUCUUCACCAGAUUGAUUUGCUGGAGAAUCCUGCGAUUGAUAAUGUGGUGGUGCUAUCGGUGGUAUUGGAGGAGGUGAAGAACAAGAACAUUUCUGUUUAUAAUAGACUUAGAGCCCUAUGUAGCAAUUCUCUCAGGAAGUUCUUUGUCUUUUCCAAUGAGUACCAUAAGGAUACAUAUGUGAAGGCCAUGCCUGGUGAAAGUCCAAAUGAUCGUAAUGACAGGGAAUUCCAUAAAUGGAGUCUAAAGCUGCUGUCAAAUACCAACCUUUGAGAGGGGGGAGAAAUAGAUGGGCACUUGAAGAUAUUGGAAAUCUUGUGAUUGCUCCUGUUGUUGAUAGUAAACCGCAGACCCGCCCCAUCACAAGAAGCUUUACUGCACAAUGUCUAUGAAGAGGUUCUGGAGAUUGUUUCUUAUAUGACAUUUUACUCGCCAAAAAUAUCAAUGAACAUGUGGAGUCUCUGGCCAUUAAUGAUGGAGGCCCUUGCAGACUGGGCUAUUGAUUAUUUCCCAAACAUAUUGGUUCCAUUGGACAACUAUAUAUCGAGGAGCACUGAACAUUUCCUUACUUGCAAGGAGAAGGUCAUGACAUCAAUGGAGAAACCCUCGUAUACAAUGCGUGUUCCAAGGAAGUCAGAACCGGAUUACUAUUUGGGCCAAGUACUGCCAGUACUCCAGCGAAGACGUGUAUGUAGGCGAGCUUGUUUCUGCUAUUAGUUCUUUUCCAAUGCUCAAGAAAAUAUAUUUUUUGGCAAGUUUACCUCUUGUAGACAAAAUUCAUAUGUUUUGAUGAUAUUAUUGUAUUAAAGUAUGAGGAUUUUAAAUAUUAUUGUGUUUUGAUGAUAGUAUUUUCAUUGUGUUAAAA